UACGGAGGGUGCAAGCGUUGCUCGGAUUUAUUGGGCGUAAAGGGUAGGUAGGUGGUCUUAUUUGUCUAGGGUGAAAUCCUUGAGCUUAACUCAAGAAGUGCCCUAGAAACGGUAAGACUAGAGUCCUGGAGAGGGUCGUGGAAUUCCCGGUGUAGCGGUGAAAUGCGUAGAGAUCGGGAGGAACACCAGAGGCGAAGGCGGCGGCCUGGACAGGUACUGACACUAAACUACGAAAGCGUGGGGAGCAAACAGG
rnacentral:rRNA from 1 species